UAUGGAUAGCUACAGUUUAUUAAUAACGUUUGUAUAAAACAUUUAAGUAAAUUUAAAAAAAAAAUUGUUUCAUAAUAAAAAUCUGAUUACUAAUUCUCGGUUAGAAAAAUUAAAAUAUUUUUCAAGUAGCUAUAAAUGUAAUAAUUGAAUUACUUAAAAUAAAUAGAUGUCUCAGGAAAUAUGAAGAAAUAGUUUUUAUGCAAACCUUUUUGAAAUCAAUGUAUUUUUUAUUUGUAUAUUAUGUUAGUAUGUGU